AGCAGAGAGAGACCCAGCUCCAGGAACACGAAGGCAAGGACAGUAGCCUUCAGUCUCGACCCCAGAGCUUGGCACCCCAGAACCUGGGCUCCCCAAAGCAAGACCAGGGCCCCCACAUUGUGCGCCAAAGUGCGGGGUGGAGAAUGCCCACAGCCCAAGGGCCCCCAGGCUGAAGGCAGGAGACUGGGGCUGCUGGAGAAGUUGCCCAGGCUGAGGGGCCGUGCCUGGCAGGGACAUGGGGCUGCUGCUGCUGCUGCUCCCAGGCUGGGGCUGUGCUGCAGGCUCCGAGCUGGCCUUCGUGCAGGAGCUGGGGGACACAGUGGCUGUGUGGGAGCACCCACUGGUGCUGCCCUGCCAGGUGGAGGGUGAGCCGCCUGUGUCCAUUUCCUGGCAGCGGGAUAGGCUGGCCUUAGCCAAUGAGAGUGGUGUCACCCUGAUGCCAGAUGGCUCCCUGCACCUGGCCGCCCUGCCUUCCCGCCGGAGCCUCCCUUCCCGUGCCCACGAGUACCACUGCGUGGCCCAGAACCGCUACGGGCGGCUGGUGAGCCGACAGGCCCGGGUACAGCUGGCAAGUAAGUGACAGGGCUGCUCCUGGGAUUGGGGGAUGAGAGUUGGUGGGGCACCCACAGAAGGCACCCAUGGGGCCCAGACUCGCUGAGAGUGGGCCUGAGCAGGGCCAGCCCAGCCAUUAGACACAGUGUACACACUGGUAGAGCCUCUGAUUCUUUUAGGGGCCCACAAAAAUGUUUUAACUUCUUCAAAACCAGAAGAAAAAAAUGAAUACAAUAAUAAAUAUGUAAAAAUGAGUCCA
rnacentral:lncRNA from 1 species